AUUGAACGCUGGCGGCAGGCCUAACACAUGCAAGUCGAGCGAGCGGCGGACGGGUGAGUAAUGUCUGGGAAACUGCCUGAUGGAGGGGGAUAACUACUGGAAACGGUAGCUAAUACCGCAUACCAUCAGAUGUGCCCAGAUGGGAUUAGCUGGUCGGUGGGGUAACGGCUCACCUAGGCGACGAUCCCUAGCUGGUCUGAGAGGAUGACCAGCCAGACUGGAAAUGAGACACGGUCCAGAAUCGUACGGGAGGCAGCAGUGGGGAAGAUUGCACAAUGGGCGCAAGCCUGAUGCAGCCAUGCCGCGUGUGUGAAGAAGGCCUGCGGGUUGUAAAGUACUUUCAGCGGGGAGGCGUUACCCGCAGAAGAAGCACCGGCUAACUCCGUGCCAGCAGCCGCGGUAAUAC
rnacentral:rRNA from 1 species